GUAGCUGGUCUGAGAGGAUGACCAGCCACACUGGAACUGAGACACGGUCCAGACUCCUACGGGAGGCAGCAGUGGGGAAUAUUGGACAAUGGGGGCAACCCUGAUCCAGCAAUGCCGCGUGUGUGAAGAAGGCCUGAGGGUUGUAAAGCACUUUCAGUGGGGAGGAGGGWUGAUAGGUUAAGAGCUAAUUAWUUGGACGUUACCCACAGAAGAAGCACCGGCUAACUCCGUGCCAGCAGCCGCGGUAAUACGGAGGGUGCGAGCGUUAAUCGGAAUUACUGGGCGUAAAGGGUGCGUAGGUGGUUAAUUAAGUUAUCUGUGAAAUCCCUGGGCUUAACCUGGGCAGGUCAGAUGAUACUGAUUGACUCGAGUAYGG
rnacentral:rRNA from 1 species